rnacentral:lncRNA from 1 species
GCUUCUAUACGCAUUUCAAGGGUAGGUUUUCAUCAAUAGCUCUUCUGCUGACAGGUGAGUUGGGGGCAAAUAAAAACAGAAAGCUCUUGGCUGUUUAAUUUUUCAAUGAAAGCUUUGAAAGGGUACCAUUUUUUCAUUGUUAAUUUCUUCUCAUCUUCAGUAUUGUUUUCUCAGUCUUAAAGCAGCCUCUAUCUUUUGCCAUUGGUUGCAGCUUGGAAGAUACCAGACACUCAGAGAAUCUAAGGAAAUUUUCAGCUGACCCUGAGGAAACUCCAAGUGAUACAUGGGUUGUAUAAGUGAGUCAAAAGAGCAUGAGCUACAUCUGGAGGGGCUGUGUUUACAGCUGAUAUGUUCAUGGCUUGAGCUGCGGGAAAAGGCUUGGAGAGAUCCUAUAAAAGGAUGGAGAGCAUAUAUCAAGCAGUAAUAACUGAAACAAACUGGAAAAAAUCUUAAUGAAGCUGUACAAUAUGGAGGACUCCCUGCCAUGGAGGAUUUAUGUGCCUGUGCUGUAAGCGGUGAGUGAAGUGUUUGCCAGCACUCGAUUAGUAGUUCCUAUGUCAUUACCGAAUU